GACGAACGCUGGCGGCGUGCUUAACACAUGCAAGUCGAACGGAAAGGCCCUGCUUUUGUGGGGUGCUCGAGUGGCGAACGGGUGAGUAACACGUGAGUAACCUGCCCUUGACUUUGGGAUAACUUCAGGAAACUGGGGCUAAUACCGGAUAGGAGCUCCUGCUGCAUGGUGGGGGUUGGAAAGAUUCGGCGGUUGGGGAUGGACUCGCGGCUUAUCAGCUUGUUGGUGGGGUAGUGGCUUACCAAGGCUUUGACGGGUAGCCGGCCUGAGAGGGUGACCGGCCACAUUGGGACUGCGAUACGGCCCAGACUCCUACGGGAGGCAGCAGUGGGGAAUAUUGCACAAUGGGCGGAAGCCUGAUGCAGCAACGCCGCGUGCGGGAUGACGGCCUUCGGGUUGUAAACCGCUUUCGCCUGUGACGAAGCGUGAGUGACGGUAAUGGGUAAAGAAGCACCGGCUAACUACGUG
rnacentral:rRNA from 1 species